rnacentral:lncRNA from 10 species
CCUAGAGCCAUGCCUGAUAGAAACUUGAAGCCCAGUAACUAGUCGUUGAAUUUUGAGCGGGGUUUUUUUUUUUUUUUUAAAGACAGGCUGAAGUGCAGUGGCAUGAUCUUGGCUCUCUGCAACCUCUGCCUCCUGGGCUCAAGCCAUCCUGCCACCUCACUCCUAAGUAUUAUAGCUGGGACUACAGGCACAUGCCACCAUGCCUGGCUAAUUUUUUUGUAUUUUUAGUAGAGACUGGGUUUCACCAUGUUGCCCAGUCUGGUCUCGAACUUUGGAGCUCAAGUGAUCCUUCCACCUUAGCCUCCCAAAGUUCUGGGAUUACAGACGUGAGCCACCCCACCCAGCCGUGAGCUGUUUUAACAUCAGACUGUUUGCAUUUUCCAGUUAGACAUAACAGAAGAAGACUGCUUUAGUUUAUUUCCCUUGGAAACCCUUGUGUACCUGACUCCUGACUCAGAACACGCUCUUGAAGAUGUUGAUCUAAACAAAGUUUACAUCCUCGGUGGGCUUGUGGAUGAAAGCAUUCAGAAGGUAAGUAUACAUUUCA